rnacentral:rRNA from 1 species
AUAUACGACCGUACCGCAAACCGACACUGGUGCGCGAGAUGAGUAUUCUAAGGCGCUUGAGAGAACUCAGGAGAAGGAACUCGGCAAAUUGACACCGUAACUUCGGAAGAAGGUGUGCCCUAUUAGUGUGUAGUGAACAACGAAGCAUGAAUGGGUUGCAAAAAAUCGGUGGCUGCGACUGUUUAUUAAAAACACAGCACUCUGCAAACACGAAAGUGGACGUAUAGGGUGUGACGCCUGCCCGGUGCUGGAAGAUUAAAUGAUGGGGUGCAAGCUCUUGAUUGAAGUCCCAGUAAACGGCGGCCGUAACAAUAACGGUCCUAAGGUAGCGAAAUUCCUUGUCGGGUAAGUUCCGACCUGCACGAAUGGCGUAACGAUGGCCACACUGUCUCCUCCUGAGACUCAGCGAAGUUGAAAUGUUUGUGAUGAUGCAAUCUCCCCGCGGAAAGACGGAAAGACCCCAUGAACCUUUACUGUAGCUUUGUAUUGGACUUUGAACAGAUCUGUGUAGGAUAGGUGGGAGGCUUUGAAGCAGGGUCGCUAGAUCUUGUGGAGCCAACGUUGAAAUACCACCCUGGUGUGUUUGAGGUUCUAACCUAGGUCCAUUAUCUGGAUCGGGGACAGUGCAUGGUAGGCAGUUUGACUGGGGCGGUCUCCUCCCAAAGCGUAACGGAGGAGUUCGAAGGUACGCUAGUUACGGUCGGACAUCGUGAAGAUAGUGCAAUGGCAUAAGCGUGCUUAACUGCGAGACUGACAAGUCGAGCAGAUGCGAAAGCAGGACAUAGUGAUCCGGUGGUUCUGUAUGGAAGGGCCAUCGCUCAACGGAUAAAAGGUACUCUGGGGAUAACAGGCUGAUACCGCCCAAGAGUUCAUAUCGACGGCGGUGUUUGGCACCUCGAUGUCGGCUCAUCUCAUCCUGGGGCUGUAGCCGGUCCCAAGGGUAUGGCUGUUCGCCAUUUAAAGAGGUACGUGAGCUGGGUUUAAAACGUCGUGAGACAGUUUGGUCCCUAUCUUCCGUGGGCGCUGCAGAUUUGAGGAAGCCUGCUCCUAGUACGAGAGGACCGGAGUGGACACACCUCUGGUGUAUCGGUUGUCACGCCAGUGGCAUUGCCGAGUAGCUAAGUGUGGAAGAGACAACCGCUGAAAGCAUCUAAGCGGGAAACUCGUUUCAAGAUGAGAUCUGCCGGGGCCUUGAGCCCCCUAAAGAGUCGUUCAAGACCAGGACGUUGAUAGGUCAGGUGUGGAAGCG